GGGGUUGUGGCUCAGUGGCAGGGCGCUUGCCUAGCACACAGGAGGCUCUGGGUUCGAUCCUCAGCAUCACGU
rfam:Ictidomys tridecemlineatus contig113107, whole genome shotgun sequence.